GUUGUUGCAGUUAAAAAGCUCGUAGUUGAAUUUCGGGGUUAGUAGGUUGGUCAUGCCUCUGGUAUGUACUGGUCUCACUGAUUCCCCCUUCCUUAUGAACCGUAAUGCCAUUAAUUUGGUAUUGCGGGGAAUUUGGACUGUUACUUUGAAGAAAUUAGAGUGUUUAAAGCAAGCUAACGCUUGAAUACAUUAGCAUGGAAUAAUGAAAUAGGACGUUCGAUCUUAUUUUGUCGGUUUCUAGGAUUGACGUAAUGAUUAAUAGGGAUAGUUGGGGGCAUUAGUAUUCAAUUGUCAGAGGUGAAAUUCUUGGAUUUAUUGAAGACUAACUACUGCGAAAGCAUUUGCCAAGGAUGUUUUCAUUAAUCAAGAACGAAAGUUAGGGGAUCGAAGACGAUCAGAUACCGUCGUAGUCUUAACCAUAAACUAUGCCGACUAGGGAUCGGAUGAUGUUAAUUUUUUAAUGACUCAUUCGGCGCCUUACGGGAAAC
rnacentral:rRNA from 1 species